rnacentral:rRNA from 2 species
AGCAGCCGCGGUAAUUCCAGCUCCAAUAGCGUAUAUUAAAGUUGUUGCAGUUAAAAAGCUCGUAGUUGAAUUUCGGGGUUAGUAGGUUGGUCAUGCCUCUGGUAUGUACUGGUCUCACUGAUUCCUCCUUCCUGAUGAGCCGUAAUGCCAUUAAUUUGGUGUUGCGGGGAAUUUGGACUGUUACUUUGAAAAAAUUAGAGUGUUUAAAGCAAGCUAACGCUUGAAUACAUUAGCAUGGAAUAAUGAAAUAGGACGUUUGAUUCUAUUUUGUUGGUUUCUAGGAUCGACGUAAUGAUUAAUAGGGAUAGUUGGGGGCAUUAGUAUUCAAUUGUCAGAGGUGAAAUUCUUGGAUUUAUUGAAGACUAACUACUGCGAAAGCAUUUGCCAAGGAUGUUUUCAUUAAUCAAGAACGAAAGUUAGGGGAUCGAAGACGAUCAGAUACCGUCGUAGUCUUAACCAUAAACUAUGCCGACUAGGGAUCGGAUGAUGUUAAUUUUUUAAUGACUCA